rnacentral:rRNA from 1 species
UACGUAGGUGGCAAGCGUUGUCCGGAUUUAUUGGGUUUAAGGGUGCGUAGGCGGCUUUGUAAGUCAGUGGUGAAAUAUGGCAGCUCAACUGUCAGGGUGCCAUUGAUACUGCAGAGCUUGAGUACAGAUGAGGUAGGCGGAAUUGACGGUGUAGCGGUGAAAUGCUUAGAUAUCGUCAAGAACACCGAUAGCGAAGGCAGCUUACUGGGCUGUAACUGACGCUGAGGCACGAAAGUGUGGGGAUCAAACAGG